AAAUAAGAAGCAAUAACUGCGUUUAGUUUCGACCUAAAAGUUUGAUAAAUAUUAUCCUUAUUUA
rnacentral:tRNA from 2 species